rnacentral:misc_RNA from 1 species
CCGAGUUUACAACUCCCAAACCCCUGUGAACAUACCACUUGUUGCCUCGGCGGAUCAGCCCGCUCCCGGUAAAACGGGACGGCCCGCCAGAGGACCCCUAAACUCUGUUUCUAUAUGUAACUUCUGAGUAAAACAUAAAUAAAUCA